rnacentral:rRNA from 1 species
CAGUCGCCACGGUAAUACGGAGGGUGCAAGCGUUAAUCGGAAUUACUGGGCGUAAAGCGCACGCAGGCGGUCUGUCAAGUCGGAUGUGAAAUCCCCGGGCUCAACCUGGGAACUGCAUUCGAAACUGGCAGGCUAGAGUCUUGUAGAGGGGGGUAGAAUUCCAGGUGUAGCGGUGAAAUGCGUAGAGAUCUGGAGGAAUACCGGUGGCGAAGGCGGCCCCCUGGACAAAGACUGACGCUCAGGUGCGAAAGCGUGGGGAGCAAACAGGAUUAGAUACCCCUGUAGUCCCUGUCUCUUAUAC